AGAUGAUGAGGGUCAGGGAUAUGUUUCCCUAUUGGUUUGAUUGCCAAUAUGAUGGCAUCAAUCAUGUACUAGGCUACUAGCUCUAGCUGUUCAUUC